CGACAAAAGGGAAAUGAUAAAAUAUUAAUAUUAACUCAACCACUAUAUGAAGGUUUCUAAAACACA
rnacentral:tRNA from 1 species